GUCUAUGGCCAUACCACCCUGAACAUGCCGAGUCUUGUCUGAUCUCAAAAGCUAAGCAGCGAUGGGCCUGGUUAGUACUUGAAUGAGAAAAUUUCAGAUGGACCAACAAGGUCACCAGACU
ensembl:rRNA 5S_rRNA 5S ribosomal RNA